rnacentral:rRNA from 1 species
CUACGGGCUGCUGCAGUGGGGAAUAUUGCACAAUGGGGGAAACCCUGAUGCAGCAACGCCGCGUGGAGGAUGACGCAUUUCGGUGUGUAAACUCCUUUUAUAUCCCAAGAUAAUGACGGUAGGAUAUGAAUAAGCACCGGCUAACUCCGUGCCAGCAGCCGCGGUAAUACGGAGGGUGCAAGCGUUACUCGGAAUCACUGGGCGUAAAGGGCGCGUAGGCGGGUUGUCAAGUCUUGAGUGAAAUCCAACGGCUCAACCGUUGAACUGCUUGAGAAACUGGCAGCCUAGAGUAAGGGAGAGGUAGAUGGAAUUGGUGGUGUAGGGGUAAAAUCCGUAGAGAUCACCAGGAAUACCCAUUGCGAAGGCGAUCUGCUGGAACUUUACUGACGCUGAGGCGCGAAAGCGUGGGGAGCAAACAGGAUUAGAUACCCCUGUAGUC